UGUGACUUAUUUGAAAUACUUGUAUUUCAAAUGCAAAUACAAAAUGCAAAAUACCUAUUUUGUAUUUUGUAUUUAAAUACCUUUUAAAGAAAACUAUUUUGUAUUUUAUUUCAAAUAGUUUUUGGGACCUAUUUUCUAUUUUCAAAAUACAAAAUACUUUUUAUUAGGUGAAGUAAGUAGGAGUUACAAUCUCUUCUGACGUUACAAUCCUUGCAACUCUCUCAUUCUUUUAUGUCGACCGGUCUGGCCUAGUGGGUAGUGACCCUGCCUAUGAAGCCGAUGGUCCCGGAUUCAAAUCCUGGUAAUUUGUGUGAUGAACACAGAUAUUUAUUCCUGAGUCAUGGGUGUUUUCUGUUUUUUUUUUUUGUGUAUUUAUUCACUAUGAAUUUUUUGAAACAGGGUUUAACACAAUAAGCCACUAUUGAAAACCUCUAGGGUUUAUGUAAUAGUUGGCGAGAUCGCGCGGACCGAUCCGCGUUUGCUUAAUACUAUUAUUACAUACUUAGUUAUGUUUUCCUGUCGAAGCUGUUAUUGUAUCUAUCGUUUAAAUAUCGACCUUAUGUAUAUGUACUUAAGCAUUUAUAAAUAUUUAUCAUUGUCUAGUACCCACAACACAAGCCUUAAUGAGCUUAUUACUGUGGGACUUAGUCAAUUUGUGUAGUAAUGUCCUAUAAUAUUUAUUUAUUAUUUUAACAUGGAACUGGUGAAUCUGUUUAGUAACGCCGCAAAUGACCACAAGCGUAGCGAGAGAUUAAAAAUGUUGAAUCUUAAGCGUUGCAAGGGUUUCAAGGCACGAGAGGUAAUAGUACAUUACGAUACAAGUGCGAAAAAUAGGAAAUUCGAAACGAGUGGCGAUAAAUUAAAACACGACCGAAGGGAGUGUUUUAAAUCGACACGAGUUGCGAAUUACCUAUUCGCACAUGUAUCGUACAAUGUUUUACAGUACAUAUGGCCCUUUAAAUGUUCGACACAGUAACAUAAUAUGCUACUUCUCGCACUAGUGCUAUAAAGUAGCCCCAUAUGUACUGUAAAAAUCAUUAUUGUGCACUUCAUGCAACUUGUUCGCGGUGCUGCACUAAGAAACGACUGUGCUUUUUUUUAAUGGUUAUUUUCCUACUAUAGUAUAGUAGGAAAAUAGGUAUAGUAACUAUACCUAUAUUAAUAUUAUAAAUGCGUAUAAAACUCUGUCUCACCGUCUGUCUGCAACCUCUUCAGAUUUGCCACUGAACCAAUUCAACCAAUUAAGAUGAGUUUUGGUAUGGAAAUUGAAGCUCGGAAAAGGACAUUGGAUAGUUUUAUCAAUCAUCAUCAUCAUUCAAAGCAGACGUCACGGGCAGAAGCUAGUACCAUAGAAUAAAUACUAGUGCUACCGUACAGAAAGGAAACUUCCUACAAAACCGAAUUUUCAAAGCGAUUCAGGGACGACCCAUGUUCUUUUUCUAAUUUCUAAUAUAUGGCACUAUCCUUUUCGGCUAGUAAGGGUUGUCAAAAUUCGAGUGAUUAUCUUAUCUGUGGUCGUGCACGCGAAGGAAAGUCAUGUUCUGCCAACGACGCAAAUAAUUGCUCGGAGCAAUGCAGGGGGCCUACCGCGAAAACCGAAAGUCGCAAAUUGCUGGGAUUUUUCAUUUAAGCUUUCACGAUUUUUACUCAUUAUUAACUAACACAAACGGGACUUAAUCGCGUAUUAAGUUUUAAAUUUACCUCCGACGUUUCGAGGACGGUUUCUUCUCCGAGACCACGGGGACAACGCCGUCCUCGAAACGUCGGAGGUAAAUUUAAAACUUAAUACGUGAUUAAGUCCCGUUUGUGUUAGUUAACAAUGCUGGGAUCUUUCUCUUUUACUCUCACUAAGACGUAAUUAGAGUGACAGAGAAAAAUGCCCGCGAGCCGAACGGAGCUGAGAACGCCCGAAUACUGCAGUUUCUCCCCUCUGCUAGUACCAAUAGAAACGCGAUUUAGAAAACUAGCCCGAAAAAUAAAUCAAAACAUAAUCUUGACUUUUUGUCUUGCAACUUUUCGCACCUAUCUACAUUAGAUCACCACGAAACGGGAAAAUACUCAAAACUCUUAAUUAUUCUAAAUAUCCUAGCGAUCCUCCAAAAAUGGCUUCCAAGCGAUAGAGACAAUACACUUUUUCCGUCCAUUGUUUCACCAAAUUAGGGGCGGGCGCUAAGUUUUCCACCAAUCAGCGCGCUCCAGAGCGGGACAGCACACAACUUGGACUACAAGUGAGACAGAGACGGGUAAUAAGUUGUGUUAUUUAUGUCAGAAGUUGCGAGUGAGUGGUUUUCCUCUGUAAUUGAUGCUCUCAGUCCGCUUUGGUUACAAAUUGGGAUUUUUAUCGGUGAAAUGGGUAGAAAAUUAAUUUUGGCAUCUAAAUUAUUCUGGGCGAUCGUUCACGCCAGAGUAGGUGGAUUUUGAUAAUGUUUCAUUAAUUUUAGUUUUUUGGAGCUUUUUUGAACAAAGUUUCUUUGUUUUUGUACAUUUUGACGACCGGUCUGGCCUCGUGGGUAGUGACCCUGCCUAUGAAGCCGAUGGUCCCGGGUUCAAAUCCUGGUAAGGCCAUUUAUUCGUGUGAUGAGCAUGGAUAUUUGUUCCUGAGUCAUGGGUGUUUUCUAUGUAUUUAAGUAUUUAUAAAAUAUUUAUAUAUUAUAUAUAUCGUUGUCUAAGUACCCUCAACACAAGCCUUAUUGAGCUUACUGUGGGACUUAGUCAAUUUGUGUAAUAAUGUCCUAUAAUAUU